UUGCGGGAGUGGAGCAGAGGCCCGCUGCAGAGCGACAGCUCCGCCUGGCGACUGAGGACGUGGGUCAGAAGGGACUCGAGGCGGGCCUGACGGAGCUCAGCCUGUCCCUCUGCUGCUUGGGUCCACUUCUUUAACUUGCGAAAAGCCAGCGUGCUGGCUUGCGUCUCCACGUGACCUGGGCCCACCUACUGACGCCGCCGUUUUGGAGCUGUGCCUCCCUGAGCCCCGGCGACUUCCGGGGCGGGCCUCCCGUUGCCCAGGUACAGAGAACAGUGAUUAUCAUACAACUGGAAAGGAAGGCAAAGAAAAUGCUUUUUAUUUUAGAUUGGGCAAUUAAACAAACUGCAGUUUUAGUAUGAAGAAAAGAGGAGGCAGAACAAGCCGGAUCAGAAGAAGAAAACUCUUGAGAAACCCUGAAUCUAGCAGAGUGAAUGAGAGCUACAAGCCUGAAUUUAUAGAGCUUAAGAAGUGGCUGAAAGAUAGGAAGUUUGAAGAUGCAAAUUUAAUACCUGCUCGUUUUCCAGGUACAGGAAGAGGCCUGAUGAGCAAAACAUCCCUACAGGCGGGACAGAUGAUUAUCUCGUUGCCUGAGAGUUGCCUGCUGACCACAGACACCGUGAUUAGAAGCUACUUAGGGGCGUACAUCGCUAAGUGGCAGCCUCCUCCGUCUCCCCUGCUGGCUCUGUGCACCUUUCUAGUUUCAGAAAAGCAUGCUGGGAAUCAGUCACCCUGGAAGCCUUACCUGGAGGUGUUACCGAAGGCCUACACCUGCCCUGUUUGUUUGGAGCUGGAAGUGGUGAAUCUUCUUCCCAGACCUCUGAAAGCAAAGGCCAGAGAGCAGAGAACCCGCGUGCGGGAGUUCUUUACCUCCUCCAGAGGCUUUUUCUCUUCCCUGCAGCCUCUGUUUUCCCAGGCUGUCGAGAGCAUCUUUAGCCACAGCGCCCUCCUGUGGGCUUGGUGCACCGUCAACACCAGGGCUGUGUACAUGAAGCGCCCGCCGAGGCCCUGCCUUUCUGCAGAGCCAGACACCUAUGCACUCGCCCCCUACCUGGAUCUGCUGAACCACAGCCCCCACGUCCAGGUAAAAGCAGCGUUUAAUGAGGAAACUCGCUGUUAUGAAAUUAGAACGGCUACAAGCUGUAGAAAACAUGAAGAGGUCUUCAUCUGCUAUGGGCCUCACGAUAACCACCGUCUGCUCCUGGAGUAUGGAUUUGUUCCUGUCCGUAACCCUCAUGCUUGUGUUUAUGUCUCAGAAGAUACCCUUGUUAAAUAUCUUCCAUCGACAGAUAAGCAGAUGAACAAAAAGAUUUCCAUUUUAAAGGAUCAUGACUUUAUAGAAAAUUUGACGUUUGGCUGGGAUGGACCGUCUUGGCGGUUACUCACAGCUCUUAAGCUGUUAUGUCUGGAAGCUGAAGAAUUGGACUCAGGGAGAAAAACUACUGCCUGGUCUCAACACGAAAAAUAGUUGUGUCUCUUCUCAGCAGGCGGUGUGUUUUUGUGUAACAGACACUAUGGUUUCUGUAUCUGAUACAUUUCAGAUCAGAUUAUUGCUCGCUAGAAAACUCAGAGGCAGAUCUGUGGUCCAUCCAAGUGUGCAGCAUUUUAAGGCAUGCAGUUUGUCACUGACUCAUUGCUGGCUGUACCUCAUCUUUCCUGCUCUCAUCUUCCCUUUACCUUCUUUUCUCUCUCCGUUCAUCUUACGUUUUAUUUUAUCUCAUGUGUAGCUAUGUCAGCUUCUUUAAAUCCUUCUGGGGAAAAGGUAUGAAUCCUUUUCAGACAAACCUCAAAUUAAAACUGCUGGAUGUUUGCCAGAGGUCCCCCCGAGGCCUCUUUUCUUCCCAUUGAGUUGUUCCUGACUGUCUGGAGUGGUGUGGCAGGGAAAGCAUGUGUUUGGGAUUCUGCCUGGUGGGUGUGUGACUCUGUUUCUGCCUCUCAUUAGCUUUGUCACUUAGGGUGAGUUCUUCACUGUUGUGGAUUCUCAGUUUCUUUGUGUCUACCAUGGGUAUAACAGUGCUUUCUUUGUUAGGCAGUUGUGAAGAUUAAAACAGACAGUGGUUGCACGUAGAACACUGUGCCCGGCACAGACUAAUGUCUUUCCUUACUUCUUUUCCUGAAAACCUCUCUGUUCUGGGGUUGCCACCAUCAUCUCUAAGACUAAAGACUUCUAAGACUUGACUUCCUAUGUGGCUUGUCUGAUGUUCUGAAUUUCUUUUCUUUCUUUCUUUCUUUUUUUUUUUUAAAGCCUAUAGCACCUGGUGUUCCUAGGUGGUCUCCCAUCUGAGUACUCACCAGGCCAUACCCUGCUUUGCUUCUGAGAUCAGAUGAGACUGGGUAAAUUCAGGGCAGUUUGGCCGUAGACUGUUCUGAAUUUCCCUGUGACCUCUACUCGGAUGGUGCGGCCGACCCCUGGCCUUUCCCUCCUCAACCACUUCUGUGUCCAGAUUCUCUGCAUCCAGACUCUGUGCCUCCUCCCUGCCCGCCUCCCUGGUUGGUGCUUCUCCCCAGACUGUAGAUUUGGCUCGGCUGCCUUCUGACUCGGCAUUGCGCUGUGGCUCCCUCUUGCCUACCCCAAAAUGCCUGCCCUCUCCUGCCUGCAGAGAAUUGGUCCUCCCAGCCCACUGAACCUCAUUUCCUACAGACUUUUUUAGUAUAAAAUUGGAAUGACCUGUAUGGAGAGAAAGGCUUCACUGUAGAUCCCUCCUUCCAUGUGCAGAGCAUUUUACUUUGUGGAACAUGUCCUGUUCAGUUUGCCAUUUUUUGGGAAGGACUCGCUUGCAGUAAAGGAAUACUGCUGCCUUUGCUCCUUGGUCUUUUUAGUCCUUUAGCUUUGGACUCACCCCCUUGUCUGUCCCCUGUUCUAGUCCCGUGGCCGGGGCACGUGACUCUGCUGACUUACGUGCCAGACACAGGAUUGUGAUGCUGUCACUCAGUCCCUGCCAGAAGCACCAGGCCCUUCUCUUCUUAUCCUCAGGGUUCCCUCUUCUUUCUUAAAUACCUUGUCUGCUUCAACACAGGAACCACAUGUGGUGGGAGCUUUGAGGAAAUGUGCUGAUGGAAUGAAUUAUUAUGUUUCUGAAAAAAUAGGAGAAGAGAAUGUGCAUUGUGUUGAAGUAGAAACGCCUUCUUUAUUUUUUGAGAACCUGCUGAAAUGAUCUUACUGAAUAUUUUGAUUCUAGUACAUGCUGGAAAAAAGUACUUCUUGGGGAAAUAAUUUCAGAUACAAAUGAGAAGACAAGUUUGGACAUAGCCCAGAAAAUAUGCCAUUAUUUCAUAGAGGAGACUAAUGCUGUGCUCCAAAAGGUUUCUCAUAUGAAAGAUGAAGAAU